rnacentral:rRNA from 1 species
CCUACGGGAGGCAGCAGUGGGGAAUAUUGGGCAAUGGGCGCAAGCCUGAACCAGCAACGCCGCGUGAAGGAAGAAGGCUCUAGGGUUGUAAACUUCUUUUGUCAAGGACGUAGCAAGUGACGGUACCUGACGAAUAAGCCACGGCUAACUACGUGCCAGCAGCCGCGGUAAUACGUAGGUGGCAAGCGUUAUCCGGAUUUACUGGGUGUAAGGGGCGUGUAGGCGGGGAAGUAAGUCAGAUGUGAAAACUACGGGCUCAACCUGUGGACUGCAUUUGAAACUGUUUUUCUUGAGUGCUGGUGAGGCAAUCGGAAUUCCGUGUGUAGCGGUGAAAUGCGUAGAUAUACGGAGGAACACCAGUGGCGAAGGCGGAUUGCUGGACAGUAACUGACGCUGAGGCGCGAAAGCGUGGGGAUCAAACAGGAUUAGAUACCCUGGUAGUC